AUGGAAUAAAUUAACUGCUUAAUCCAUUUAAACACAAGAGUUGUUAUAUUGGAUUAUUGAUGGAUCACCUUGUUUGUAAAAUAUACAAACUCCUAUCCUCUAAAAUGGCUGAAAGCCUGUGAUAAGGAUCCAACAGGCUACUUUAGCCGAAAUAGAUAGGUAAACUUUACCGUCUGUUGGUUUUGUUCUGUUUGACUCUUGAUGCUAUUGUUUCAGUUAAUUCAUUGUUACUAGUAUUAGACCUUGUCAUGGGACAAUUUAAACAUCUUCUGAUGCAGAUUAAUUUUAACUGGUUUUACUUAAACGCAUGAUGUGCUCCCAGUUUAUACUAUGUUGUUUAAUCAAGACUGAUUUCUAAAUUGUGUUAUGAUCUAGUUUAAUCCUUAAGUUUUGAAAACGAAUUAUCCUAUUUCCUGCUUCAUGUUACAUUAUAUGUUGAGAAUUGGUUUGAUAUGCUAAUUGAGUUACCUAAAUUUUUUAUUGAAUUUUUUAGUCAAUUUGCUUUAUUGGUUUUUAAAUUGUAAAGUUUUUACUCGCCAUGUUAGUCAGAUUUCUAUGCUUUUAUAUCAUGUUAUAGUUGUACCUAUGAUAUUCAUUGACUUUUUUGUGCGCUCUUUUGGAUGGUGAUCUAAUUGCAAGUACUUGCCUUCUUUUUUAACAAUUAUAACUUCUUUACUUAAUGCUUUAACAUUAUUCCAUUUUUUUCCCGACGUGAAACUCGAAAAUCACUGUUGCCAUUUCCUUGCAGCUGUUGUGAUUAACUUUUUAAAAUUUUUUUUUUUGUCUGGUUCUGGCAUGAAACAGCUAAAAUAAUUGAAACAGCUAAUAACUUUUUUUUUCACCAAUUGCUAAACAUCUGGAAGAACACAAUUCUAUUAUCUACCAGUGAUAUGAUAAUUUCCACCAUUAAUUUAGAGUUCGAUUUCCGAAAUAUCCAUGUUUUGAAAUGAAAGAAUAGUUUAUGCUAAUGCUCAUCUAUGAUUCUAUUAUUAAUUCUAUGACUUGGAUCACAUUAGACAUGCUUGAAUUUCUUGUUUUGAAUUACACGCUACAACAAUAUCAAGUUCCUUCUACUAUGUGUGCUUACAUGUUCAUGCAUAUUUGUUCAACUUGGUAUCUGUAAAGUCUUAAAUUACAAUAUUUUGGUUAUAGUUUGUUGUGUUAUGCAUUUUCCUAUGUAAUCUUGAAUCUUAGAAUGCCUUGACAUCCUGACAAAUCAUGUUCCAUUAGGAUCAUAAACAUGCUUUUUAUGUGGUUGAUUAUAGAUGGGUUAUCCAUUAUGCAUUUAGUUGGUGAAAAAAGUACGCAUGCCUAUGAUUGAAAGCAUGAAACUUGGUAAUCUAAGAAUACUUAAGCGCAAGAUCACAGAGUACUACCGCCAUUGAUUUGAAGGACUAUCAAGGUUGUUGGAAUUGUUUUACUUUCAUUUUUUUCUGAUAUGUUUUGAUGCCUUAUAGUUAAUUUUGUUGUUUUAUGGUCUCUCAAGGAGAGAAGGUUGGGACUCAAGCUUGUGGAACAUUUUAAUAUAAACAUUGAAGAAUGAAGGAAAUAAUAUCAAGCAGGAGUUUCCAUAGGUGUAUCAUUUGUAUAUAUAAGGGUAUAUUCUUUUCCCACCAUGUUUGUUUUUGUAAUUUGAGUUUGGAUAUUUCCUUUUACCUUUAUUGGAAAUGUAUUUUAUAGUGUAGCUCACUUAAAAAGUGGCUGAGAGAGGUUGUUGGAAGCAUCCAAAUCUCUUUUCUUGCAAGUUGGCUCAUAGAUUCUGGUUGAAAAUAAAGAAAAACUGAAAGUGGAUAGGAAUGUAAGUUAUAUGUAAGCCUCAAUAUCAUCAACAAAUACUCCAAAAGUUGCCAAUGCUAGUUCGUACUUAAUUCUAUGGUAUGCCAUCAACCUUUUUUCUUCA